rnacentral:lncRNA from 1 species
GAUCUUUGUGGGCUAUACUCGGCCUUGUCUCAGGAUGGACCUGAGCCCUAGGCCCAUGCCUCAGGACUACCUGGCAUGAGGACUCCUUGCUGUCCCAAGUCCACCUGGCCAUGCUGCUGCUCCAGUUCCAACUGUUCUGCCUGCGGCUAUGGAACCCUGACCUGUUCACCGGACGUGCUACCUGUGCCAGACCUGCUGUUUUCAACUCUCUAGAGACAGCAGGAGCGUCCACCUGGCCGUGCUGCUGCUCCAGUUUCAACUGUUCUGCCUGCGGCUAUGGAACCCUGACCUGUUCACCGGACGUGCUUGUUGCACCCUCGACAACUACUAUGAUUAUUAUUAUUUGACCAUGCUGGUCAUUUAUGAACAUUUUAACAUUUUAACAUCUUGACCAUGUUCUGUUAUAAUAUCCACCCUGCACAGCCAGAAGAGGACUGGCCACCCCUCAUAGCCUGGUUCCUCUCUAGGUUUCUUCCUAGGUUUUUGGCCUUUCUAGGGAGUUUUUCCUAGGGAGUUUUUCCUAGCCACCGUGCUUCUUUCACAUGCUUUGCUUGCUGUUUGGGGUUUUAGGCUGGGUUUCUG